GUCUGUUUCUUUGCGUGUGUGUAUGUGUGCGUGAGCCGCUGAUAACGCAGCUGAUCGGGCGAUUCCAUUGAAUUCCAGUUUUCGUUUCGAUCUGAGAAGUCCCCCGGGCGCAGAGCAUGGCCAGCAACUCCACCCAGUCCCAGCCGUCCAGGAUCACCAGCGACAUGGUCAACCAGCUGCAGCCGACGGCGCAGGAAGCGAAGCUUGCGCCGAUUCCCAGUGCACCCCAGUGGCGCUCCCCCCAGCUGAUGGUCGUCUUCGAGGACGGUGAUCUGCACUCAGCGCGCCACCAGUUGCUCCAGUCCCUGCAGAAUCCCUUUGACGAGGGAUCGGUGGCCACGUUGCUGCUCCAGGAGAGCAUUGCCGAUCAGUUUGUGGGCCUGGUGGCGCAGGAUCUGCGUCCGUUGUCGCCGGCGGUGUCCAAGCACCCGAGCUACAGCAGCUCGCUGGCCAAGAUCGAACAGCUGAAGGCCAAGACAGUACAAGGCGUAAGCCUCAAGGCCGGGGAAUCACCCGUCUUGGUGUACGACUGCGUGCACAGCUAUCUGGGCAAUGGAGCGACGGGAGUGGUGACGGUACACACUUUCCGCACAGCCAAGGAGGCCGGCGAGUUGGCCAAAAGGGAUCCCCUACCUUACGGCCAAGUUAGUCUGUGGAAUGAGAAGCUGGGCUGCGCCUACGAACUGAUACCACGACUACCGAGCGACAUUGUGGCCAUUAAUAGCUUCAAUCCGGACUUGGAUCCCAUCCGGGAAUCCUUUGCUGCCGACCGCAACGAUGUCCUGCUGGCCAAGAACUAUCACUAUGAAUCGCUGGUGGUGAGCGGCAAACGGAAGAUCAUCGUGUUUCCCGUGGGCACCAUCUUCGGCAACUGAAGAGUGACAGUGCUGGACUUCGACGUCGACGAAUCACAUCCGAUAGGAAUCACAUCCAGGCGAACUGGUAAUGAUUUCAAUGAAAAAUUUUAAAAGAACAUUUUGUUUUGUGCAAG
rnacentral:misc_RNA from 1 species